rnacentral:rRNA from 1 species
ACCGGCGGCUCGAGUGGUGGCCACUAUUACUGGGCUUAAAGCGUUCGUAGCUGGCUUGUUAAGUCUCUGGGGAAAUCUUCCGGCUCAACCGGAAGGCGUCUCAGGGAUACUGGCAGGCUAGGGACCGGAAGAGGUGAGAGGUACUCCAGGGGUAGGCGUGAAAUCAGGAAGGCCCAGAGGGACAGGCAGGGGCGAAGGGGGCACACCCGGACGUAGCCGACGGUGAGGUAGGAGAUCUUCGACCACAAACAU